AGAGUCUUUCUUUUUUCUCCUCCCUAUCCAAUUAUUACUGACUCUGGGAGCACCACCAACCUACAAUAAUUAUUAGAUACCUUCCUUAAGGAUCUCUAAGCGUAAUACUGUUGGUUAUUUGAACAGGUUUUUACAAUUCUUGUAUAAAUCUAUGUUCUUCACUAUAAUAUUCUUCCUGUGCGGAACCAAACCAAACCUUCCUGUUGUCCUUUGAAAGGUUGCAGGCAUUUUGGUGACGAGAAGGUGGUUUAAGAGUGAAGAGGUAGCAGUGUUUUGUGUUUUCUGAGUAGACAUGGCUUCCAGGCAAGUGGUAGAGAGAGGAGGAGGCUGGUAGAGGAGGAGGAGGAGGAGAAGGCCACAUCCCAGCAGCACCUUGUGUCUGACACAGAGGCAGGAGAGGAGGUGCAGGAGACUGCUGUGGAGGCCACUGAGGUGGAGGAGGAUGAAGAGGCUGGGACAUCAGCACAAGGCAGGACCAGGGCUGUAUUUAUUUGAGGAGAACUGCACUAUAGCCCAUGUCAUGGUGCACGUGUACCAUGCCUGCUGGGUGAACAGACGUACAGGACUCCUAGAAGAAGGCCAUGUGGAGGUCGAUCCAAGACGCAGUCAAUGCGGUUAGCUCCUGCUGUCAGGAUCUGAAAAAUGUGAAGAGAUAUGGAGACAUCAAGAGGGUCCUGAAGGGCAAGAUGACAGAGGAAGAGUUCAAACAAAUCAUCCCUCCGUAGGUCGUCCCAGGUGUGCCUAUAGUGGACACGGACCGCCCAGUGUCACCACCUCAUCCUGCUGCUGUACGUCAGCGUAGAGCUCCACCAAAAAGGCGGUGGCAAGAGACAGACACAAAGGAGGCUGGUGUCUUUUAAAAACACACACACACACACUUUACACCCAUUACACUUAUUACACGGUUUUGUGGCCAUAUUAUGGAGCACCAGACCAGCCAGCUGGACUACAUUGGGCGGCAAAUGUGGCGGAAGAAUAGAACUGCGGCAGUGGCACAGGGCACCCGUACCUGGAUGGCCUUGCAGAUCAAUAGUUGCCUGCAGGAGCUGACCCAGGAAACAAUGAAGCGGACGGAGGUGACCCAGGAUCAACUGCAGGCAACCCCGGAGUACACACAGGCCAUCCAGGAUCAAACCCAGAUGUUUGCGGCCCUGCAGAGGGAGCUGGUGGCUCAAAGAGCAGGCCGCGAGGGGCCAACUUCAACAACAGCCAGCUUCCUCCACUCUGGCACACAGAGUGGCUCACCAGUCACCCCCAAAAGGCAUAGUGCCCACUGGGGGAGGGGGGGGGGCAUCAAGGGGCUUUCUCCUCCCAAUGAUUUUUGUUUUUUCCCCCUUCUUUGCUUUCUUUCAAACAACUAUAUUCUGUUGACAAUUGUGUCCAUUUUUUCAAAAUUAAGUAAAGUGUCCUUUAUAAAAA